UACGUAGGGGGCAAGCGUUGGUCCGGAAUCAUUGGGCGUAAGCGCGUGUAGGCGGCUCGAUAAGUCUGCUGUGAAAGUCCAGGGCUCAACCCUGGGAUGCCGGUGGAUACUGUCGAGCUCGAGUCCGGAAGAGGCGAGUGGAAUUCCUGGUGUAGCGGUGAAAUGCGCAGAUAUCAGGAGGAACACCAUUGCGAAGGCAGCUCGCUGGGACGUACUGACGCUGAGACGCGAAGCGUGGGGAGCAAACAGG
rnacentral:rRNA from 1 species